rnacentral:rRNA from 1 species
UGGCUAACUCCUACGGGAGGCAGCAGUGGGGAAUCUUAGACAAUGGGGGCAACCCUGAUCUAGCCAUGCCGCGUGAGUGAUGAAGGCCCUAGGGUUGUAAAGCUCUUUCAGCUGGGAAGAUAAUGACGGUACCAGCAGAAGAAGCCCCGGCUAACUCCGUGCCAGCAGCCGCGGUAAUACGGAGGGGGCUAGCGUUGUUCGGAAUUACUGGGCGUAAAGCGCACGUAGGCGGACCAGAAAGUUGGGGGUGAAAUCCCGGGGCUCAACCUCGGAACUGCCUUCAAAACUAUUGGUCUGGAGUUCGAGAGAGGUGAGUGGAAUUCCGAGUGUAGAGGUGAAAUUCGUAGAUAUUCGGAGGAACACCAGUGGCGAAGGCGGCUCACUGGCUCGAUACUGACGCUGAGGUGCGAAAGCGUGGGGAGCAAACAGGAUUAGAUACCCCAGUAGUCCAGCUGG